UCCAGAAAAGGGCCUCAGAUGAAAAAAACCAAACAGAUUUAGAGGUGGAGGGGUCUUAGAGAUCAUCUGACCCAAUCCUCUAAUUUUACAGUUGAAGAAACUGAAGGCAAAAGAGGUUAAAUAACUUACUCCAGGUCACACUGCUAAUUAUUAGCAGAGUUAGAAGCCAACAGCUCUCUAUUCUUAAUUUUGCUUCUGAUAAGCUCCGUGACAUAAACCAAAUACUGAAUUUCUUAGUGCUUUAGCUGCCUCUGUUAUAAAAUGGCGUUAAUACCCCCGGGAUCCUCUAUAUUUCAUAGGCAUAUUGUUAGAGCUUGUGCGUCAUGACAUGAGCAAUGUACUUCAGCUUCUGUGAAAAGCAAAUUAUCUAAUACCAUUCAAUCAGUUAGGAUUCUUUGAUGCCAAGCAAUAGAAAAUGCAUACAGCUUACCUAAGCAAAAUGUGAACUGAUCAGAAUAAUAUGAGGGGGCUCAGAGAUUGAAAGGGGAUAUUAAAUGACUGGCUUGGCAUGGAUGAGAAUGAGGGUGCUAGAGAGAGUAUUGGAAGUGGGAAGAGUACCACGGUGCUACCUAAUACCAGCGCUGGAAUGAUUCUUCUCCAGCCAUUCCUUCCAUCAGUCUGACCCUCUACUGGGGAUCCAAAAUGGUGGGAGGGAGAACUGAUUGGCUCAGAUGAGAUCACAAAUGUACCCCUUCUGCCGCAACAGAGCAGCAAGAGAGAUCUAUCAUAAAGAGCAACCCAAGUCCUGCCAGCUUCCUGAGCAAGAAGAAAGGGCACCUCAAUCACUGGCCUUCCAAGACGACAAGGAGGAAAAGCACCUAUCGAACUUCUGAUGUUCCUCAUACAUAUAUAUGUUUUUUGGCUGAGGAAGAUUCACCCUGAGCUAACAUCUGUGCCUAUUCUCCUCUAUUUUGUAUGUGGGUCACUGCCACGGCAUGGCUGCUAAAGAGUGGUGUAGGUCCACAUGGGGGAACCGAACCUGAGCCACCCAAGCAGAGUGUGCCAAACUUAACAACUAGGCCAUGGGGCCGGCCCCUCAUAUUCGUUAUAUUUAACCACCCUUGACUGUUGACUUGAUAACAGAAGUUUUGUGCUGAAACCUUGGUCGACUAAAGGCAUCUGUCAGGACUAGGGAAAUACAGAGGGUGCUCCAGAUGAACGCUGCUCCGUCUCCUCACCCACUAGGCUCCAUCUUACUGCAACUCACUUCAUUAUCUGCUUGGGUGAUUUCUGGAACCAGAGAAAACAGGGCAAGAGUCCUGGGGGCAGACACAUAAUUUAUCAACAUAAAUUUUAGUCUCACCACUGAUCUUUCCUCCCCUUUUGGAAACUUCAGAGAGAGUUGAGCAGGCUAGUGAGAUUCCAGGCUGGAUGGUUGCCAUUUAUAAAUAGCAUUACAAGAACGCUACCCAGAGUUCUUUUGAUUUGCCAGCAUCUAUCAGUUGGAUACAAUGAUCAGACAGAUAAUGGAGUUGCUACUUGGAGAAUGUCCCUUUGUGUAGCAGAGAAGGCUGAGUUUGCCCAGGAUAUAUUUAUUGGCUGAGUGACAGCUCUGCAUGCCCUGAAUCAAGGUGUGGCACUGCCGGCGGAUGCUAUGGAGAACUCAGCUGGAACAAAGUGUCACAUCACAUGUUGCCACGGAAGCAGCGUCUUGACCGAGUGGUACCUGUAAAAGGGAAAUGUUUAACGAUGAAUAACUUUGUUUGAAGCUCUGCUCACUCCACAUUUCCAUGCAAAAUGAAACCACAGGAGGCAUGAAAAUCUCCAAAGGGCCUUUAUACAUAGAUUAAUGUGGUAAUUCUCUCAUUACUAUGUUCUGAAGAAGAGCUUCUU
rnacentral:lncRNA from 1 species